GACGAACGCUGGCGGCGUGCUUAACACAUGCAAGUCGAACGGAAAGGCCCUGCUUUUGUGGGGUGCUCGAGUGGCGAACGGGUGAGUAACACGUGAGUAACCUGCCCUUGACUUUGGGAUAACUUCAGGAAACUGGGGCUAAUACCGGAUAGGAGCUCCUGCUGCAUGGUGGGGGUUGGAAAGUUUCGGCGGUUGGGGAUGGACUCGCGGCUUAUCAGCUUGUUGGUGGGGUAGUGGCUUACCAAGGCUUUGACGGGUAGCCGGCCUGAGAGGGUGACCGGCCACAUUGGGACUGAGAUACGGCCCAGACUCCUACGGGAGGCAGCAGUGGGGAAUAUUGCACAAUGGGCGGAAGCCUGAUGCAGCAACGCCGCGUGCGGGAUGACGGCCUUCGGGUUGUAAACCGCUUUCGCCUGUGACGAAGCGUGAGUGACGGUAAUGGGUAAAGAAGCACCGGCUAACUACGUGCCAGCAGCCGCGGUGAUACGUAGGGUGCGAGCGUUGUCCGGAUUUAUUGGGCGUAAAGGGCUCGUAGGUGGUUGAUCACGUCGGAAGUGUAAUCUUGGGGCUUAACCCUGAGCGUGCUUUCGAUACGGGUUGACUUGAGGAAGGUAGGGGAGAAUGGAAUUCCUGGUGGAGCGGUGGAAUGCGCAGAUAUCAGGAGGAACACCAGUGGCGAAGGCGGUUCUCUGGGCCUUUCCUGACGCUGAGGAGCGAAAGCGUGGGGAGCGAACAGGCUUAGAUACCCUGGUAGUCCGCGCUGUAAACGGUGGGUACUAGGUGUGGGGUCCAUUCCACGGGUUCCGUGCCGUAGCUAACGCUUUAAGUACCCCGCCUGGGGAGUACGGCCGCAAGGCUAAAACUCAAAGGAAUUGACGGGGCCCCGCACAAGCGGCGGAGCAUGCGGAUUAAUUCGAUGCAACGCGUAGAACCUUACCUGGGUUUGACAUGGAUCGGGAGUGCUCAGAGAUGGGUGUGCCUCUUUUGGGGUCGGUUCACAGGUGGUGCAUGGCUGUCGUCAGCUCGUGUCGUGAGAUGUUGGGUUAAGUCCCGCAACGAGCGCAACCCUUGUUCACUGUUGCCAGCACGUUAUGGUGGGGACUCAGUGGAGACCGCCGGGGUCAACUCGGAGGAAGGUGGGGAUGACGUCAGGUCAUCAUGCCCCUUAUGUCCAGGGCUUCACGCAUGCUACAAUGGCUGGUACAGAGAGUGGCGAGCCUGUGAGGGUGAGCGAAUCUCGGAAAGCCGGUCUCAGUUCGGAUUGGGGUCAGCAACUCGACCUCAUGAAGUCGGAGUCGCUAGUAAUCGCAGAUCAGCAACGCUGCGGUGAAUACGUUCCCGGGGCU
rnacentral:rRNA from 1 species